UACGUAGGGGGGCUAGCGUUGUCUGGGAUUUAUUGGGCGUAAAGAGCGUGUAGGCGGCCAUGUAGGUCCGGUGUGAAAACUCGAGGCUUAACCUCGAGAUGUCAUCGGAAACCAUUUGGCUAGAGUCCGGAAGAGGAGAGUGGAAUUCCCGGUGUAGCGGUGAAAUGCGCAGAUAUCGGGAGGAACACCGGUGGCGAAGGCGGUUCUCUGGGCCUUACCUGCGCUGAGGAGCGAAAGCGUGGGGAGCAAACAGG
rnacentral:rRNA from 1 species